GGGGGCUAGGAUGAAAUUUGAAAAAAAUAGGCAGGACAGGAGUUUUGAGUAAAAAAAAAAAGCGGAUGAGAAACUUGUUAAAAAAAAAGGCAGGAUGACAAAUUUGUAAAAAAAAAGUCAGGAUAAACUAGUAAAAAAAAAGGCAGGACCGAAUAGAGUAAAAAAUAAAAAGGCAGGACAGAGAUUACAACUAAAAAAAAAAAAGCAG
rnacentral:lncRNA from 1 species